CAGAGACCCAUCAAGAACCUCUACACAGAGAUCAGAGUCUCAAGAGUAACAUUUCGAAAGUUUGAAUCUUGCGAACGAGAAACUGAGUUUGUGAUUGUUUUUUUUUUUUGUGUGUGUGAGAAGUCUCUUCCCGAUUUUAUAUUUUUGUUUGCUACUUCUUCGUCUUUGGAAGGAUCUCCUUUGUCGAUGGCGAAAGAUUUGGAUCCAAAGAGAAUGAGUUAAAAGAGAGAGAG
rnacentral:lncRNA from 1 species